rnacentral:rRNA from 1 species
UGCAGUCGAACGGCAGCACGGAGUGCUUGCACCUGGUGGCGAGUGGCGAACGGGUGAGUAAUACAUCGGAACAUGUCCUGUAGUGGGGGAUAGCCCGGCGAAAGCCGGAUUAAUACCGCAUACGAUCUACGGAUGAAAGCGGGGGACCUUCGGGCCUCGCGCUAUAGGGUUGGCCGAUGGCUGAUUAGCUAGUUGGUGGGGUAAAGGCCUACCAAGGCGACGAUCAGUAGCUGGUCUGAGAGGACGACCAGCCACACUGGGACUGAGACACGGCCCAGACUCCUACGGGAGGCAGCAGUGGGGAAUUUUGGACAAUGGGCGAAAGCCUGAUCCAGCAAUGCCGCGUGUGUGAAGAAGGCCUUCGGGUUGUAAAGCACUUUUGUCCGGAAAGAAAUCCUUGGCUCUAAUACAGUCGGGGGAUGACGGUACCGGAAGAAUAAGCACCGGCUAACUACGUGCCAGCAGCCGCGGUAAUACGUAGGGUGCGAGCGUUAAUCGGAAUUACUGGGCGUAAAGCGUGCGCAGGCGGUUUGCUAAGACCGAUGUGAAAUCCCCGGGCUCAACCUGGGAACUGCAUUGGUGACUGGCAGGCUAGAGUAUGGCAGAGGGGGGUAGAAUUCCACGUGUAGCAGUGAAAUGCGUAGAGAUGUGGAGGAAUACCGAUGGCGAAGGCAGCCCCCUGGGCCAAUACUGACGCUCAUGCACGAAAGCGUGGGGAGCAAACAGGAUUAGAUACCCUGGUAGUCCACGCCCUAAACGAUGUCAACUAGUUGUUGGGGAUUCAUUUCCUUAGUAACGUAGCUAACGCGUGAAGUUGACCGCCUGGGGAGUACGGUCGCAAGAUUAAAACUCAAAGGAAUUGACGGGGACCCGCACAAGCGGUGGAUGAUGUGGAUUAAUUCGAUGCAACGCGAAAAACCUUACCUACCCUUGACAUGGUCGGAAUCCCGCUGAGAGGUGGGAGUGCUCGAAAGAGAACCGGCGC